rnacentral:rRNA from 1 species
ACUCCUACGGGAGGCAGCAGUGGGAAUAUUGGACAAUGGGGAACCGUAGCAUCCAGCCAUGCCGCGUGUGUGAAGAAGGCCUUCGGGUUGUAAAGCACUUUCAGUGGGGAGGAAAGGUUGUUGGUUAAUACCUAACAGCUGUGACGUUACCCACAGAAGAAGCACCGGCUAACUCCGUGCCAGCAGCCGCGGUAAUACGGAGGGUGCAAGCGUUAAUCGGAAUUACUGGGCGUAAAGCGUGCGCAGGCGGUCUGUUAAGCGAGAUGUGAAAGCCCGGCUGCA